rnacentral:rRNA from 1 species
CCUACGGGGGGCUGCAGUGAGGAAUAUUGGUCAAUGGACGAGAGUCUGAACCAGCCAAGUAGCGUGAAGGAUGACUGCCCUAUGGGUUGUAAACUUCUUUUAUAUGAGAAUAAAACUGGGUAUGCAUACCCUCUUGUAUGUACCAUAUGAAUAAGGAUCGGCUAACUCCGUGCCAGCAGCCGCGGUAAUACGGAGGAUCCGAGCGUUAUCCGGAUUUAUUGGGUUUAAAGGGUGCGUAGGUGGAUUGUUAAGUUAGUUGUGAAAGUUUGGGGCUUAACCGUAAAAUUGCCGUUGAAACUGGCAGUCUUGAGUACAGUAGAGGUAGGCGGAAUUCGUGGUGUAGCGGUGAAAUGCUUAGAUAUCACGCAGAACUCCGAUUGCGAAGGCAGCUCACUGGACUGUAACUGACACUGAUGCUCGAAAGUGUGGGGAUCAAACAGGAUUAGAUACCCUUGUAGUC